AUGAUAACAAUAAAAAAACAAGUUGGAACAGUGUCGUAUUCAGCAUCCUGGUUCCUCUCUAACGAAAUCUUUCUCCUCGCUCUUUCCUGUGAUUUUUCCGCCGCCAUCACCCCUCCGCCGUCACCCCUCUGUCGUCUCCAGCCACCACACCGUGCCAUACAGAGAAGGCUACUGUGUGAGAGAGGAAGAAGUUUUUGGAUCAGUUUAUUUCAUGAGAGAGGAAGAGUUUUUGUAUCGGCUACUGUGUGGGAGAGGAAGAAGUUUUUGGAUCGGUUGCUGUGUGAGGGUGGAGAAGGUUUUAGAUCAGUUUAUUUCGUGAGAGAGGAAGAGGUUUUGGAUCGGUUAUGUGUGAGAGAGGAAGAGGUUUUGGAUAGGUUGUUGUGUGAAAGAUAA